rnacentral:rRNA from 1 species
UACGGAGGGGGCUAGCGUUGAUCGGAAUUACUGGGCGUAAAGCGCACGUAGGCGGAAAUGUAAGUUGGAUGUGAAAUUCCGGAGCUCAACUCCGGAGUUGCAUUCAAGACUGCAAGUCUGGAGGUCAGGAAAGGCGAGCGGAAUUCCGAGUGUAGAGGUGAAAUUCGUAGAUAUGUGGAGGAACACCAGUGGUGAAGGCGGAUCGCGGGACUGAUGAUGACGAUGAGGUGCGAAAGCUUGGGGAGCAAACAGG